UGCAAAUGGUGAUAAAAUCAAGGCUUGUUUCUCAAAACAUUCACAGUUGCCUCCUAAGAGCUUUCGCCUUGCCAGGCUUGAGGCUAGUGUUGUUUGGUUCUUCCUUGGAUGUCUGAUGCA
rfam:Triticum aestivum genome assembly, contig: Triticum_aestivum_CS42_TGACv1_scaffold_473365_6AL